AUGCUCCUGUUCCAGGAGGACAGCACCCUUGAAUGGUCUGAAAUCCUUUCCUUGAAUGCUUCGAGAGCGCUCUCAUCUCCGUCAUGUGCGCGCGUCACCCCCACGGUGGAGAGCAGGAGAAGCACAAGACAUUUGAUUCCGACGAGGCGCCGUGGCAGCGGUGUACCCCUCCGCCACAUGGUUCUGUGUGUGGUUAUUUUCACUCUCUCUUCCUUGGUAUGGAACAUUGGAGCUACAAGUUCUAGCUUUCUGAUACAGAAUUUGCACGAUGUUGGUGUGCCUUUCGCGAAAUUAAAAUAG
rnacentral:rRNA from 1 species